rnacentral:rRNA from 1 species
AUUGAACGCUGGCGGCAGGCCUAACACAUGCAAGUCGAACGGUAACAGGAAGCAGCUUGCUGCUUUGCUGACGAGUGGCGGACGGGUGAGUAAUGUCUGGGAAACUGCCCGAUGGAGGGGGAUAACUACUGGAAACGGUAGCUAAUACCGCAUAACGUCGCAAGCCCAAAGAGGGGGACCUUAGGGCCUCUUGCCAUCGGAUGUGCCCAGAUGGGAUUAGCUAGUAGGUGGGGUAACGGCUCACCUAGGCGACGAUCCCUAGCUGGUCUGAGAGGAUGACCAGCCACACUGGAACUGAGACACGGUCCAGACUCCUACGGGAGGCAGCAGUGGGGAAUAUUGCACAAAGGGCGCAAGCCUGAUGCAGCCAUGCCGCGUGUAUGAAGAAGGUCUUCGGGUUGUAAAGUACUUUCAGCGGGGAGGAAGGGAGUAAAGUUAAUACCUUUACUCAUUGACGUUACCCGCAGAAGAAGCACCGGCUAACUCCGUG